GACGAACGCUGGCGGCGGGCUUAACACAUGCAAGUCGAACGGAAAGGCCCUGCUUGUGUGGGGUGCUCGAGUGGCGAACGGGUGAGGAACACGUGAAUAACCUGCCCUUGACUUUGGGAUAACUUCAGGAAGCUGGGGCUAAUACCGGAUCGGAUCUCCUGCUGCAUGGUGGGGGUUGGAAAGUUUCGGCGGGUGGGGAUGGACUCGCGGCUUAUCAGCUUGUUGGUUGGGUAGUGGCUUACCAAGGCUUUGACCGGUAGCCGGCCUGAGAGGGUGACCGGCCACAUUGGGACUGCGAUACGGCCCAGAGUCCUACGGGAGGCAGCAGUGGGGAAUAUUGCCCAAUGGGAGGAAGCCUGAGGCAGCAACGCCGCGUGCGGGAUGACGGCCUUCGGGUUGUAAACCGCUUUAGCCUGUGACGAAGCGUGAGUGACGGUAAUGGGUAAAGAAGCACCGGCUAACUACGUG
rnacentral:rRNA from 1 species